rnacentral:rRNA from 1 species
UACGUAGGGCGCAAGCGUUAUCCGGAAUUAUUGGGCGUAAAGAGCUCGUAGGCGGUUUGUCGCGUCUGCCGUGAAAGUCCGGGGCUCACUCCGGAUCUGCGGUGGGUACGGGCAGACUAGAGUGAUGUAGGGGAGACUGGAAUUCCUGGUGUAGCGGUGAAAUGCGCAGAUAUCAGGAGGAACACCGAUGGCGAAGGCAGGUCUCUGGGCAUUAACUGACGCUGAGGAGCGAAAGCAUGGGGAGCGAACAGG